AGCCACAUGGUGCAGUGUUUUGAGUGUUGGACUAUGACUCUAGAGAUCAGGGUUCGAUUCCCAGCUCAGCCA